GACGAACGCUGGCGGCGUGCCUAAUACAUGCAAGUUGAGCGCUGAAGGUUGGUACUUGUACCAACUGGAUGAGCAGCGAACGGGUGAGUAACGCGUGGGGAAUCUGCCUUUGAGCGGGGGACAACAUUUGGAAACGAAUGCUAAUACCGCAUAAAAACUUUAAACACAAGUUUUAAGUUUGGAAGAUGCAAUUGCAUCACUCAAAGAUGAUCCCGCGUUGUAUUAGCUAGUUGGUGAGGUAAAGGCUCACCAAGGCGAUGAUACAUAGCCGACCUGAGAGGGUGAUCGGCCACAUUGGGACUGAGACACGGCCCAAACUCCUACGGGAGGCAGCAGUAGGGAAUCUUCGGCGAUGGACGAAAGUCUGACCGAGCAACGCCGCGUGAGUGAAGAAGGUUUUCGGACCGUAAAACUCUGUUGGUAGAGAAGAACGUUGGUGAGAGUGGAAAGCUCAUCAAGUGACGGUAACUACCCAGAAAGGGACGGCUAACUACGUG
rnacentral:rRNA from 1 species